AUGUAACACGCUCCAGUCUCCUGCAGGCAACCAGCACUCACUCAGCAUGAAAACCGUGCGGGCUCUGCUCAUCCUCGGGAUCCUUCUGUGUCACAUUGUCUGUGUGCAAGGUGUCGGGCGGUCACUACAGGACUGCUGUGUGCAUACAAGUGCCAAACGUAUCCCAUUUGGCGCCAUUAUCGGAUAUGAGAUACAAUCAAAGGAUAAAGGAUGCCCCAUAGAAGCUGUGGUAUUUCAGACAAAUUCUAACCCAACCAGGAAUUUAUGUGCCCCACAAGACAUACCAUGGGUUAAAAAGUGGAUUAAAAAACUGGACAAAUGUAAAAAAGAAAUGGAGAAGAAUGGGAAUAAACCAAAGAAAUGUACAAAACGUCAGCUGGAUUGAGUCAAGAUCUCGGCGCCUCCUUAUGUGUUUGCCAUGAAUGUCCAAGACAUGAAACAGCAGAAAGAUUUGCCUUCCACGUCGCUUAUAUUAUCAAUGCAGAGAUGAAAAUUUUGGAACAAUGGAUCAUGAAGAGACAAUGAGAUGUUAUGAAGAGUUCUUCUUUCCCUUUUUCUCACUUAUAGUUAUGUGUAGAGCGUAUUCUUUACAGAACAUAAUUAUCCUGUACAAUUAACUCAUGUAGCGUAAACCUGUGAUGGAAGAGGGAGGGUCUGCUAUCUGUAAAAUACCUGGUGUGAUACUAUAUGUACGAAGAGAAUUACAUUUUUAGAUAUCAGGACUUUUAUACAU